rnacentral:rRNA from 1 species
GCUUUUCGGAUCAGUGGCGAACGGGUGAGUAACACGUGAGUAACCUGCCCUUGACUCUGGGAUAACUGCUAGAAAUGGUAGCUAAUACCGGAUACGACCCUCGGCCGCAUGGUCAGGGGGUGGAAAGAAUUUUGGUCAAGGAUGGACUCGCGGCCUAUCAGGUAGUUGGUGAGGUAAUGGCUCACCAAGCCUACGACGGGUAGCCGGCCUGAGAGGGUGACCGGCCACACUGGGACUGAGACACGGCCCAGACUCCUACGGGAGGCAGCAGUGGGGAAUAUUGCACAAUGGGCGAAAGCCUGAUGCAGCAACGCCGCGUGAGGGACGACGGCCUUCGGGUUGUAAACCUCUUUUAGUAGGGAAGAAGCGAAAGUGACGGUACCUGCAGAAAAAGCACCGGCUAACUACGUGCCAGCAGCCGCGGUAAUACGUAGGGUGCAAGCGUUGUCCGGAAUUAUUGGGCGUAAAGAGCUCGUAGGCGGUUUGUCGCGUCUGCUGUGAAAUCCGGAGGCUCAACCUCCGGCCUGCAGUGGGUACGGGCAGACUAGAGUGCGGUAGGGGAGAUUGGAAUUCCUGGUGUAGCGGUGGAAUGCGCA